rnacentral:ncRNA from 2 species
GUCUUCAUUGAUCGCGCCGGUGCCCCGAAGGGGGCUUGAAUGGGAAUGCGGUGCGGAUGUCCUUUCCUUUUAGGGCGUCCAAAUCCGCGGCUGUCCCUGCAACUGUGAGCGGCGAGCGAGACACAUAUCGACCUUCCAUGACAUGGGAGGGUCAGCCACUGGGCCGGACGCUAAAUCCUGCGAGGCCUGGGAAGGCCA